rnacentral:sRNA from 1 species
AAUUAGGAACUGGGGGGUGUUGAAUAAAGCUGAAGAUUUGGUGCCCUCACCUCAGCUCCAGACUCUACGGGAAAUGUUUGGUGCAGCAUCCAGAAUGGACACCACUGCUGUCUGUACCGGGGGAGCACCUCUCCCCUCCCUUCAUAGCUGAUUGAUGUCCAAGUCCUACCAGUAUCUCUUCAUUUCCUCUCCAUCCUGGUGGCCCUUUCUGCAGUAGAGGCUGCGUGACAGAGAGUCGAGGGAUUGUGGAUAGCCUGCAGAAGUUUUCCUCGCUCCCUGCUUACCUCCCCACGAACUUGCACAUCUCCAAUGCAGAGGAGUCCUUUUUCCUUAAAGAAGCCAACCAAGACCUCACAAGGAACUCCAGUCUGCAGGCCCGGGUGGAGCCUUUCUUCAUCUACCGAGCCAGGACACCCCCUAUUAUCAAUGCCAGCUAUGGCCCAUUUUCAGUGGAGAAGAUAAUCCCCCAGGAGCUCCUGUUGACAUCUACAGCUUUUGGAAACAUGGACAAAUUUCCCUUCAACUGGAAAUUGAAAUCCCACAUCCUCGACA